rnacentral:miRNA from 1 species
AGAGCUUGUGUCUAGGGCUG